UACGUAGGUGGCAAGCGUUGUCCGGAAUUAUUGGGCGUAAAGCGCGCGCAGGUGGUUCCUUAAGUCUGAUGUGAAAGCCCACGGCUCAACCGUGGAGGGUCAUUGGAAACUGGGGAACUUGAGUACAGAAGAGGAAAGUGGAAUUCCACGUGUAGCGGUGAAAUGCGUAGAGAUGUGGAGGAACACCAGUGGCGAAGGCGACUUUCUGGUCUGUAACUGACACUGAGGCGCGAAAGCGUGGGGAGCAAACGGG
rnacentral:rRNA from 1 species